ensembl:lincRNA
CAUUGUUUUCUUUGACCAACGAAAAAAUGAAAUCUAUUUUUCUUUGAUUUUCUCUGACAUUACAGGCACUUUGGUUUCCAUUAUUGGAGGCAAUGAUGGCUCCUCAGAAGCUGUCCAGUUCAGCCAUUCCUCAUCUACACUCUGAAGCUCUGAAAUCUUUGACCAUGCAAGUUUUAAAUAGCAUGGCAGCAUUUAUUGCCCUUCCAUCAAUCUUGCAAAGAAUUUUACAGGAUCCAGUUUAUGGAAAAGGAAAACUUGGAGAAAUCCAGGGACUUAUUCUGGGAAUGUUAGAUACCUUUAACUAUGAACAAACCCUGCUGGAAACAACAACUAGCCUUCUAAACCAAGAUCUCCAUUGGUCAUUGUGUAACCUGAGAGCUUCGGUCACCAGAGGACUGAAUCCCAAACAAGAUUACUGCUCUAUAUGUUUGCAACAGUACAAGAGACGCCAAGAAAUGGCUGAUGAAAUUAUUGUCUUUAGCUGUGGCCAUUUGUAUCACUCAUUCUGCCUUCAAAACAAAGAAUGCACCAUGGAAAUUGAGGGCCAAACAAGAUGGACGUGCUACAAAUGCAGCUCAAGUAACAAAGUAGGAAAACUCAGUGAAAAUUCAUCUGAAAUUAAAAAGGGAAGGAUAACCCCAUCACAGGUAAAAAUGUCUCCAUCAUAUCAUCAGUCCAAAGGGGAUCCCACUGCUAAAAAGGGAACCUCAGAACCUGUUCUGGAUCCACAGCAAAUCCAAGCAUUUGAUCAGCUUUGCCGUCUCUACCGAGGAAGCUCCAGGCUGGCUCUUCUCACGGAACUCUCCCAGAAUCGCAGCAGCGAGAGCUAUAGGCCAUUCAGUGGCUCGCAGAGUGCUCCUGCUUUCAACAGCAUCUUCCAGAAUGAGAACUUCCAGCUGCAGCUCAUUCCCCCACCUGUGACUGAGGAUUGAUGACUCCGUGGAGCCUAGCCCAGGAGAACCAGAGAUGAUUCCAAGGCUGCUGGAGAGAGACCCCGCCUCUGGUGGGCUUGGCCUCCACCGCCUCCCACGCUUCUGAGAAGAGGUUCCAAAUUGGGAUCCUGUGCCCAGAGCGUCCACAGCACCAUUCCCAGCAUAGACUCCCAAUCUUCUCCACAUUGUUGUCAUGGCGUCAGUUCACCAGACUCCUUGAUUUUGUUUUGCCUGUUAAGCAAAGGAAUGUCACAUACCUCUGUCCAGCUUUUUAGGAAACACAUUUUGCCUAUUGGGACUUUUUCCAUUUGCCCUGAAGCCUAGAAAGUAGAUGGAACUCACACAAAUGGCAUUCCCGAGUCUGCUGUACUCCGUCUCCUCCAGCUGCUGGAUAAUACAGAGGAACUUCAACUUCUACAGGGAAUAGUGGUUGGCCAGGCUGCAGUAUAACUGAAACAUGCCUUGGAGAGAGCAGAGACACUGGGGGCCAGGGCCAUCUCCCUUUUAAUGUGUUCCUGUUAAAACCUAUUUGAGUAUAAGACUUGCCCUUUCUAACAAUAAAUGCUCUGUGUUUAAGUUCUGCAGGUCUCCUGGCUGGCUGGCUCAGGCUGUCAAGUCAUAGAGGACAUUUAGAGCCCUGUUGUCACAAUUUUAUUAGCUCGAAGUCAGGAAUCCUGACUGUGACAACCCUCCUUAAUUCAGAUAAGCAGCUCCAUCGUCAGCUCUAUUCAGAGCAGCCCAG